rnacentral:rRNA from 1 species
GAUGAACGCUAGCGGCAGGCCUAACACAUGCAAGUCGAGGGAGAAGCCCUUCGGGGCAGAAACCGGCGCACGGGUGCGUAACGCGUAUGCAACCUACCUUUCACAGGGGGAUAGCCCGAAGAAAUUUGGAUUAAUACCCCAUAAUAUUAUUGGAUGGCAUCAUUUGAUAAUUAAAAUUACGAUGGUGAAAGAUGGGCAUGCGUCCUAUUAGCUAGUUGGAGUGGUAACGGCACCCCAAGGCUACGAUAGGUAGGGGUCCUGAGAGGGAGAUCCCCCACACUGGUACUGAGACAGGGACCAGACUCCUACGGGAGGCAGCAGUGAGGAAUAUUGGUCAAUGGUCGGAAGACUGAACCAGCCAUGCCGCGUGCAGGAAGAAUGCCUUAUGGGUUGUAAACUGCUUUUAUAUGGGAAGAAUAAGGAGUACGUGUACUUUGAUGACGGUACCAUAUGAUAAGCUC